rnacentral:rRNA from 1 species
GGAUAACCUGCCCAAGGGUCCGGGAUAACCCCGGGAAACUGGGGAUAAUACCGGAUGGAUCACUAGUGCUGGAAUGCUUGGUGGUCGAAAGGUAACGCCCUUGGAUGGGUCUGCGGCGGAUUAGGUUGACGCCGGUGUAACGUACCGGCGUGCCUGUAAUCCGUACGGGUUGUGGGAGCAAGAGCCCGGAGAUGGAUUCUGAGACACGAAUCCAGGCCCUACGGGGCGCAGCAGGCGCGAAAACUCUACAAUGCAGGCAACUGCGAUAGGGGGACAUCGAGUGGCAUCCACCUUGGGUGCCUGUCCAACCGUCUAAAAAACGGUUGUUAGCAAGGGCCGGGUAAGACCGGUGCCAGCCGCCGCGGUAAUACCGGCGGCUCGAGUGGUGGCCGAUAUUAUUGAGUCUAAAGGGUCCGUAGCCGGCUUUGCAAGUCCCCUGGGAAAUCCAGCGGCUUAACCGUUGGGCUUUCAUGGGAUACUACAUUGCUUGGGACUGGGAGAGGUAGGAGGUACUCGAGGGGUAGGGGUGAAAUCCUGUAAUCCUUCGGGGACCACCGGUGGCGAAGGCGUCCUACCAGAACAGGUCCGACGGUGAGGGACGAAAGCUAGGGGCACGAACCGGAUUAGAUACCCGGGUAGUCCUAGCCGUAAACGAUGCCCGCUAGGUGUCACGACGGUCGUGAAUCGUCGUGGUGCCGUAGGGAAGCCGCGAAGCGGGCCACUUGGGAAGUACGACCGCAAGGUUGAAACUUAA